rnacentral:lncRNA from 1 species
UCUCACAGCAGUUCUUAUUCCAAUGGCUGGGAGGGGACAACCAAGCCCGGGGGGCUGAACCCCUUUGAGAAGGGGUGUGGGGGGGUAGGUCAGUCGAGAGCCCCUCAUCACCACUCCUGGGGUGGUGGAGGCAAAGCUGGGGCUGGGCUAAGGCAGGGGGAUCUGCACCUUUGUGUGGAACAUCUGCCAGGGCAAAUCACCCUCCCCAGUUCCUGGGGCUCCAUAAUGAGUUCCCCAAGUCCUGGAGACAAGAAGAGCCUUGAGGAGAAGGGGCACCUGGAACCCCAAAAUGCUCCCAAGCGGGUGAGGGACUGGAGCAGCCAGCACAGCCCAGGAUCCAGGGGUUAAAUCCCCCGGCUGCAGGUGCCCCACGGUGUCAAUGGCAGCCCUGGGGCGCAGGCACCCACCCUGUCCUGAUGUUCACUGUGGCUGCAGAGCCCUGCCAAGCCUUCCACCUGGCAAGCACCGGCGUCUCAUAAGGAAUACACAGCUCAGGGCUGGAAAAUAAACAUCUUUCUGUUUCUCCUUGCCUGGGGAGUUCAGC